UACAGAGGUCUCAAGCGUUGUUCGGAUUCAUUGGGCGUAAAGGGUGCGUAGGCGGUCGGGUAAGUCUGAUGUGAAAUCUCACAGCUUAACUGUGAAACUGCAUUGGAUACUAUCCGGCUAGAGGAAUGGAGGGGAGACUGGAAUACUUGGUGUAGCAGUGAAAUGCGUAGAUAUCAAGUGGAACACCAGUGGCGAAGGCGAGUCUCUGGACAUUCCCUGACGCUGAGGCACGAAAGCCAGGGGAGCAAACGGG
rnacentral:rRNA from 1 species